rnacentral:rRNA from 1 species
GAUGAACGCUGGCGGCGUGCCUAAUACAUGCAAGUCGAGCGAAGCGGGGACGGGUGAGUAACACGUGGAUAACCUCCUAUAAGACUGGGAUAACUUCGGGAAACCGGAGCUAAACCGGAAUAUGAUAGAUGGUUCUACUCUGCAUUAGCUAGUGGGUAAGGUAACGGCUUACCAAGGCAACGAUGCAUAGCCGACCUGAGAGGGUGAUCAGCCACACUGGAACUGAGACACGGUCCAGACUCCUACGGGAGGCAGCAGUAGGGAAUCUUCGGCAAUGGGCGAAAGUCUGACCGAGCCACGCCGCGUGAGUGAAGAAGGUUUUCGGAUCGUAAAGCUCUGUUGUUAGGGAAGCGGUAUCUAACGAGAAAGCCACGGCUAACUACGUGCCAGCAGCCGCGGUAAUUC